ACUAUUUUGGCAGAAGUUUAGUGCAAUAGAUUUAGGAUCUAAUAAUAUGAUUAUAUUUCAUAAGUAGUA
rnacentral:tRNA from 1 species